rnacentral:rRNA from 1 species
GGGUCAGUAGGUUGGUCGUGCCACCGGUACGUACUGGUCUCACUGAUUCCUCCUUCCUGAUGAACCGUAAUGCCAUUAAUUUGGUGUUGCGGGGAAACAGGACUGUUACUUUGAAAAAAUUAGAGUGUUUAAAGCAAGCUAACGCUUGAAUACAUUAGCAUGGAAUAAUGAAAUAGGACGAUCGAUCCUAUUUUGUUGGUUUCUAGGAUUGACGUA